GUGAUAUUGUGCUCCUGGAAAUAAUGGUGUAGUUUUCGGGAGGUGAGUAGAAUUGCGUAUAAGAGCUUUUGUAUCGGUGAAUACCGAGUUUUGGAGUCCGAGAGUACUUCGCUGACGAAGUAGACAUGUCGUUGGACCUUGUAAGCGUGGCCCGGUUCAGACCGUUCGACUACUAUUGUCGUGCUGACGACAUGAGUAGUAGCUGAUAUGUAUAGGAGCAAGCCUUCGUUCGGAGAAGGAGUGGUGAGUAUAGGAGGCUUUGACAGAAAGUCUUUAAGUUGUGUUAGUGCCUUGUCUGCCUCGUCCGUCCAUUUCAACUUGUCCUGGCGUUUGAGAAGCUUAAAG
rnacentral:lncRNA from 1 species